GACGAACGCUGGCGGCGUGCUUAACACAUGCCAGUCGAACGGAAAGGCCCUGCUUUUGUGGGGUGCUCGAGUGGCGAACGGGUGAGUAACACGUGAGUAACCUGCCCUUGACUUUGGGAUAACUUCAGGAAACUGGGGCUAAUACCGGAUAGGAGCUCCUGCUGCAUGGUGGGGGUUGGAAAGUUUCGGCGGUUGGGGAUGGACUCGCGGCUUAUCAGCUGGUUGGUGGGGUAGGAGCUUACCAAGGCUUUGACGGGUAGCCGGCCUGAGAGGGUGACAGGCCACAUUGGGCUUGGGAUGGGGGCCGGACGCAUACGGGAGGCAGCGGUGGGGAAUAUUGCACAAUGGGCGGAGGGAGGAUGGAGCAACGCCGCGUGCGGGAUGACGGCCUUCGGGUUGUAAACCGCUUUCGCCUGUGACGAAGCGUGAGUGACGGAAAUAAGUAAAGAAGCACCGGCUAACUACGU
rnacentral:rRNA from 1 species